ACGGGAGGCAGCAGUGGGGAAUAUUGCACAAUGGGGGAAACCCUGAUGCAGCGACGCCGCGUGAGCGAAGAAGUAUUUCGGUAUGUAAAGCUCUAUCAGCAGGGAAGAAAAUGACGGUACCUGACUAAGAAGCCCCGGCUAACUACGUGCCAGCAGCCGCGGUAAUACGUAGGGGGCAAGCGUUAUCCGGAUUUACUGGGUGUAAAGGGAGCGUAGACGGCAAGGUAAGUCUGAAGUGAAAUGCCGGGGCUCAACCCCGGAACUGCUUUGGAAACUAUCUCGCUCGAGUACCGGAGGGGUAAGCGGAAUUCCUAGUGUAGCGGUGAAAUGCGUAGAUAUUAGGAGGAACACCAGUGGCGAAGGCGACUUACUGGGCCGUAACUGACGCUGAGGCGCGAAAGCGUGGGGAGCGAACAGGAUUAGAUACCCUGGUA
rnacentral:rRNA from 1 species